CCAAAAGCGCUAAUGUGAAAGCACCCUUAAACCAGACCAACGCUGCAGGUGGCACCGGGAACAAUGGCGCCCGGGUUUGGACCACGGCAAACGAGCCCAGUGUGAAAGCCCCCGAGUCUCUGAGAUCCUGACACAUUGUACUUCUGGAGACUCCAGGGUGGCAGAAGGGGGUCAGCAGGAUAUGAAGAUCUUCUAGAAGAAACACUCGCUACACUUGGGGAAGAUACAGCGUUGUCCCCCUGCAGCCUUCUGAUUGGACAACCCGAGGCCACCACCUGGCUCUCCGUACAAGAAACUCUGCCGGGCAGACCUCCUAAGGGGAGUUUCCUCAUGCCCAGAUGCCCCCAGUAGCUUACUUGGGUCAUGAAUCAUUCAAAGCAUCUUCUGCUGAAUAAAGACCCACGGCAGCAGUGCAAACAGACAGCGCAGGUUUGGAAGUGUAGUUGGCUCAGCUUUUAGGCACAAAGAAUACAUGGAGGAUAUGUAUGGUACAACUGUUUAAAAAAAUAGACAUGGCAAAUAAGACUUUUGAUCUUGUACCCGGAACUGUUUUUAAAAGGAAUACCUGUUUUUUUUUUUUUACAAAAAACUGAAAUGCUUUUAGCAAAAGUGAAUUCAUGACUUGAAGAGAACCAGCCUAAGGUGGUUUGCUAGUCUGAGCUGGUCUCUCAACCUGGCUAAGCUGGUGUUAAGCUGGUCUAUAGAUGGUUGCCCAGCCUGGCAAAGCUGGUUUAACCAGCUGUCUUCCAUACUGAACAGAUUACAAGGGCCUGAAGCCCCUCUAAAACCAUUAAAACAGACAAUCCUAACCAGUUUAGCCAGGCUGAGAGACCAGCUAACCACUUUGGGCUUUUUUUCCAGCAGGGAAUGUAAAAUAACUGUAUUUUAAUAUACUUAAAAGCUUCCCAGAAUGGAGAUAUAUGCAAAUAUCAAAUCUGUAAUCAUUAUGACUUGUACUAUAUUA